rfam:Oryza glumipatula chromosome 11, whole genome shotgun sequence.
UUUAAGUGCAAUCAUAAAUUUCUGCGCCUAACUUUAAUCGUCCGUCUUAUUUAAAUUUUUUUAUAAUUAGUAUUUUCGUUGUUAUGAGAUAAUAAAACAUGAAUAAUACUUUACUCGUGACUUAUGUUUUUAAUUUUUUUCAAAAAUUUUUCAAAUAAGACGGAUGGUCAAAGUUGGGCGCAGAAAACUAUAGCCGCACUUAAA